AGAGAGAGAGAGAGAGAGAGAGAGAGAGAGAGAGAGAAGCCAGCUGGACAUUUCCUCUGCCUUAAGAACUGCCCAGUGGAACUUGACAACUUCUGAAAGGGGAAAGUAAACUGUGAAGUUGGUCUUUUUAAGAUGCCUGUACAGGGGUUACAGCCUAGUUAGAUAAAGAACCUGACAUUCAACCUCUUCAUUCAAGUUCCUGCCCCGAAGAAUACAGUUGCUGUCAACAAAGAGGAGACAAUGGUGGUGGAGGAUUCACCUAAAGAAAUACAGAAACAUAGUGUCUUCCUGGAAUAUCAUAACUGCUUGCCUUUCAGUGGAAAGGAACAAUUUGGUACACAUAACCAAGAAAAAUAUAGAACAACUCGAAGUUGUGAAACUCUUCACAGACAUGCUUUCUGCCUCAUCAGUACUUUGGCCAUA